rnacentral:lncRNA from 1 species
CGCACACACAUACGAGAAACGAAUAUACGUAUAACCAAACCAUAUUAAUUCCGUUAAAAGGUAAUAAAACGUAUACACGUAAACACAUCCGAUGAACCAAUUUUAAUGACAAACUUUUCGUUAAUAAUUCUAAAACAAACUGAACGGCAAUUAACGUCGACAGAUAUAAAUACAAUACAAAAAAAAGACAAAAUAAUAAAAUAAAGACAAUUUACGUAAGUAGAGGGGUUCUUUAAAGAAGCUCAUAUGACUCUCAUAAAAGGAUAAAAGUUCUUUCCAUGUGAAUAAAAAAAAAUAUAUAUAUAUAUAUAUAUAGAAAGAGAUGGAGAAAGAAGCACUUGUAACACGGAAUCCGAAUACACAUAUAAUGUUUCGUAACACGGCGUUAGGUACUACUACUACUCAUAAUGGAACACACGUCGUAAAUUGUCGAUGGGAGAGGCAUACCUGCAUAAAUACCGAGAAAAAGUAUAAAACCGUUGACAUUUAAAGCGAACGAUAAUGACGCGACGCCGAUUACAAACCCUCUUUCCUAGAGCAACAACGGUGCUCACUCAUCAUGAAGAUGAAGAAGACGAACAAGAAGACAGCCAAGCAAAACAACGAAGAAGACUAAGACGAAGACUAAGACGACGACGAUGACGACGAUGAUGAUGAUGAUGAUGAUGAUGAUGAUGAUGAUGAUGAUGAUGAUAAUGAUGAUGAAGAUGAUUACGAUGCACGCAGAAUCGAAUCAUCGCCCCACAUAAACAUAGUAAAUGCUUUUCUACGCGUUGUGCGCUUGGUCACGUGCAAUUUUCUUCAAUUGUUCAGCCAAUUAUCGAAGUUAAAAGAUAGGAUAACUAUACUCACACUCAUACUUUGGACACAAUGUAUGUAAGGAAAGAAAGGCAAAGAGCAGCAGGACCGUGUAAAUUCAAAUCGACGUUAUGGUGGAAUGAUUGCACACACCUCCUCGUGUUUCUAUACUACGAACAACAACGAAUAAGAGGAUGAAGAUGAAAAUGAAGAAGGA